rnacentral:rRNA from 1 species
CAGCAGCCGCGGUAAUACGGAGGAUCCGAGCGUUAUCCGGAUUUAUUGGGUUUAAAGGGUGCGUAGGCGGCCUGUUAAGUCAGGGGUGAAAGACGGUGGCUCAACCAUCGCAGUGCCCUUGAUACUGAUGGGCUUGAAUGUACUAGAGGUAGGCGGAAUGAGACAAGUAGCGGUGAAAUGCAUAGAUAUGUCUCAGAACACCGAUUGCGAAGGCAGCUUACUAUGGUACUAUUGACGCUGAGGCACGAAAGCGUGGGGAUCGAACAGGAUUAGAUACCCCCGUAGUCCCUGUCUCUUAUAC